UACGUAGGGGGCAAGCGUUGUUCGGAAUUACUGGGCGUAAAGGGCGCGUAGGCGGUUCGGCAAGUCGGGAGUGAAAGCCCGGGGCUCAACCCCGGGACUGCUUUCGAAACUGUCGAACUUGAGUGCAGAAGAGGCAACUGGAAUUCCCAGUGUAGCGGUGAAAUGCGUAGAUAUUGGGAAGAACACCUGAGGCGAAGGCGAGUUGCUGGGCUGACACUGACGCUGAGGCGCGAAAGCCAGGGGAGCGAACGGG
rnacentral:rRNA from 1 species